UGAUAAGAUGCAUAUCGAAGCUAUUCUGUCUUAUCCCCGCCGUUGCACACGGUAGUGGCUCAGCUAAUAAAAAAAAAAAUAAGAUUCGGCCGCAUGCUUGAUGUCAACUCUCCUUUGGAAUGCUAUUGUUACCUAUUAGAUGCACAGUCUAUGUGUGCUUUAGUCGCCUCGUAUGACAUCCACGGGAGGAUAUGGAGUGGUGAUAUUCAAAGGUUGAACCAGGCAUUUGCUGCAUUUUUAUGCAUAUCGAUCCCUCAGCCUAAUAAAUUUAUUUAAUUUAAGGAGUACUUACAGUCCAUUUUGUUUUCCUUUUUUGUUGUUACAGUCUAAUUACAUGUUUAGAAAAAAAAAGGACAAAUUGUUGAUAACAAGAUUUCGCUGACAAAAUGAAAAAGAAAAUUACCUAACUACAUAACUAACUUAUAAAAAAAUAACAAUUGACAUAUCACUAUUAUUAUAAUUAACUAUUGAUAUAUUUUAAUGAUAAACAAUAAAGAGAUAUAAUUAUAACGAAAUAAACAGUACAAUAAUACACAUAAUUAAAUACAAUACUUAUUUUUAAUAUUAUUAAUUUAAAAAAUAAAUACGAUGAAUGAACGAAAUACACAUUAUUCUCUCUUGUUUUUCAUAAAAUAGAUAGCAAAACAAAUAUAUAGCCCUUCUCCCAUUGCAGCGCCCGACAGGGUCCUUAAUUGUUCCUUUAUUUUGUAAAAUUAUGACCUGUACAUUAAGGAUGCAAUAAAUAAUUUGAAUUGAAUUGAAUUGACUGUGAAAAUUAACAAUGUUUGUUCCAAAUGAACGAAACCAAACUUGUGGAAUCUAAUUCUAAAUCUUUAAAACAAUUAGUCGUGCAGUCUAACAAAUUACAUGGAUUUUUCUGUGUAUUUAAUUUAAAUUUUCACCGGCAAAUUUAACUUCUUGUCGCUACCGCUUGAGUUACCGGCCACCGUUCACAGUAAUGCGACAUAAAUGCGGAUGUAAGGUUUCAAUUCAAUCAUUGAAGUACUACCAAUUUGAUACAUGCAAAAGUGAAUUAAAAAUGUGUAAUUGGAAGAAAUCUCAUCAAACUCUCAUCAGCAUCGUCGAUAUAAGAUAAGGUAAGUUCUCAUUUAUAUUACUCUGUCAUUCGAUUCCUACAGAUAAACAUUGUCUAGCAUUAUACCUUAUGAAAUAUCUUUAAAAAAUAAAAACCAUAACCACAGGGGAAUUGAGGACAAUGAGCGAUAGAUGUUGCCAUCUUAUUCCGCGCACGUAGUGUUG